UACAGAGGUCUCGAGCGUUAGGCGGAAUCACUGGGCUUAAAGCGUGUGUAGGCGGAUCGUUAAGUGCCUUGUGAAAUCCCACGGCUCAACCGUGGAACUGCUUGGCAUACUGGCGGUCUUGAGCAACCUAGGGGCGAGCGGAACAAAUGGUGGAGCGGUGAAAUGCGUAGAUAUCAUUUGGAACGCCAAUGGUGAAAACAGCUCGCUGGGGGUUUGCAGACGCUGAGACACGAAAGCCAGGGGAGCGAACGGG
rnacentral:rRNA from 1 species